AGCUUUGCGCAGUGGCAGUAUCGUAGCCAAUGAGGUUUAUCCGAGGCGCGAUUAUUGCUAAUUGAAGAGGUAACUCUAGGAAUAAUGCAGUUGCCCCACUUAAACUUCUACAGGAAAUAAAUGGAUGAUUUCUCAAAU
ensembl:snRNA U4 U4 spliceosomal RNA